rnacentral:rRNA from 1 species
ACAAGCGGUGGAUGAUGUGGUUUAAUCGAUGCAACGCGAAAACCUUACCAACCUUUGACAUGUACGGAAUCCUUUAGAGAUAGAGGAGUGCUCGAAAGAGAGCCGUAACACAGGUGCUGCAUGGCUGUCGUCAGCUCGUGUCGUGAGAUGUUGGGUUAAGUCCCGCAACGAGCGCAACCCUUGUCAUUAGUUGCUACAUUCAGUUGGGCACUCUAAUGAGACUGCCGGUGACAAACCGGAGGAAGGUGGGGAUGACGUCAAGUCCUCAUGGCCCUUAUAGGUGGGGCUACACACGUCAUACAAUGGAUGGUACAAAGGGUCGCCAACCCGCGAGGGGGAGCCAAUCCCAUAAAGCCAUUCGUAGUCCGGAUCGCAGUCUGCAACUCGACUGCGUGAAGUCGGAAUCGCUAGUAAUCGUGGAUCAGAAUGUCACGGUGAAUACGUUCCCGGGUCUU